AACGCUGGCGGCGUGCCUCAGACAUGCAAGUCGAACGAUUAAAGCUCUCUUCGGAGAGUGUAUAGAGUGGCGCACGGGUGAGUAACACGUAAGUAAUCUUCCUUCGAGUGGGGAAUAACGUCCGGAAACGGACGCUAAUACCGCAUAAUUCAGCGGCAUCUUAUGAUGACAGUUGUUAAAGGAGCAAUUCGCUUGAAGAUGAGCUUGCGGCAGAUUAGCUAGUUGGUAAGGUAAUGGCUUACCAAGGCUUCGAUCUGUAACCGGUCUAAGAGGACGGUCGGUCACACUGACACUGAAUAUCGGGUCAGACUCCUACGGGAGGCAGCAGUCGGGAAUUUUGGGCAAUGGGUGAAAGCCUGACCCAGCAACGCCGCGUGAAGGAUGAAGUAUUUCGGUAUGUAAACUUCGAAAGAAUGGGAAGAAUCAAUGACGGUACCAUUUAUAAGGUCUGGCUAACUACGUGCCAGCAGCCGCGGUAU
rnacentral:rRNA from 1 species